rnacentral:rRNA from 1 species
CAACCGGCGAACGGGUGCGUAACACGUGAGCAACCUACCGAUUUGUGGGGGAUAGCCGGCCCAACGGCCGGGUAAUACCGCAUACGCUUGUACGGCCUCCUGGCCUAACAAGGAAACCUCCGGGGCAAAUCGAGGGGCUCGCGGCCUAUCAGCUAGUUGGCGAGGUCACGGCUCACCAAGGCGACGACGGGUAGCUGGUCUGAGAGGAUGGCCAGCCACAUUGGGACUGAGAAACGGCCCAG